AAUGCUUAUCCUGGUCCUGCGGCCCCAGACCACGCUCUAAUAGGAGGAAUUGUAGCUGUAGUUGUAUUUGUCACAUUAUGUUCAAUUAUCUUGCUUGGACGAUACUUGGCAAGACAUAAAGGGACAUACUUAACAAACGAAGCAAAAGGCGCUGAAGAUGCCCCUGAUGCAGACACAGCCAUUAUCAAUGCAGAAGGCAGCCAAGUCAACGCAGAGGAGAAGAAGGAAUAUUUCAUUUAAAUGCAAACCCGGGUGACGACGCAUUUCACUUAUCAGGCUGACUGCUGGAAAAAACUGGCUAUCACUUUUCAGAAUUCAUUCCCCCGCCAUCUUCCGCUCCAUUUUAUUAACUUCUGCUAUCAAUAGCCAGCUUAGGCCAACAAUCAGUUGUUGACGGCAUCAUAAUUUAAUUACAUUUCAUAAUGCGGGACUUUUCUUACUGCUGAAAAAAAAUAUAUAAAACAGGAAAAAAAAAGUCCAUCAUUCUGUUUUAAUUCAGUCAUACAGUGCUUGAAUAUACAGCCUUAACAGUUUAUUUUACACUUUUUAUUUUUCAGAACAUAUUUUAUUUUUUAUGUUUACGCAAUGACAGACUUCCAGGCUGCCCUUUUAUAUAUAUUCUCCAGCACACAUACAUGAACACACAGACAUGUAUAUUUAGUCCAUGUUAUUGUACUGCAAUGCUCUGAGUCUAUGACCUACUCAUAGAGAACCAUUAUUUCCUGGUAGGAUUUUGAGUAACAGUUCCCCAUGUGGAUGUGUGAGGUAUUACGUACAA